GCGACAACAAAAACGGAUUGCUCUAGCCAAAGAAAAGACAAACAAAAUAUGUGAACAAAUGAAUUCAACAGUUGCUAGUUUAAUGAUUGCUCAUUAAAUGACUGAUAGACCAAUGGAUUAGUUCUGAAAUGUGAAUAAAAAGCCUUGUAAGUAAAAUUGCAACUAAUCAGUUCCAGAUUACCUUCCCCUGGGUUUAUGGUAACA